rnacentral:rRNA from 1 species
UGGGGAAUAUUGCACAAUGGGCGCAAGCCUGAUGCAGCCAUGUCGCGUGUGUGAAGAAGGCCUUCGGGUUGUAAAGCACUUUCAGCGGGGAGGAAGGCGUUAAGGUUAAUAACCUUGGCGAUUGACGUUACCCGCAGAAGAAGCACCGGCUAACUCCGUGCCAGCAGCCGCGGUAAUACGGAGGGUGCAAGCGUUAAUCGGAAUUACUGGGCGUAAAGCGCACGCAGGCGGUCUGUCAAGUCGGAUGUGAAAUCCCCGGACUCAACCUGGGAACUGCAUUCGAAACUAGCAGGCUAGAGUCAUGUAGAGGGGGGUGGAAUUCCGGGUGUAGCGGUGAAAUGCGUAGAGAUCUGGAGGAGUACCGGGGGCGAAGGCGGCCCCCUGGACAAAGACUGACGCUCAGGUGCGAAAGAGUGGGGAGCAAACAGG